rnacentral:rRNA from 1 species
UACGGGGGGAGCAAGCGUUGUUCGGAUUUACUGGGCGUAAAGGGCGCGUAGGCGGCGCAACAAGUCACUUGUGAAAUCUCCGGGCUUAACCCGGAGCGGUCAAGUGAUACUGUCGUGCUAGAGUGCGGAAGGGGCUACUGGAAUUCUCGGUGUAGCGGUGAAAUGCGCAGAUAUCAGGAGGAACACCGAUGGCGAAGGCA